CCUACGGGAGGCAGCAGUGGGGAAUAUUGGACAAUGGGCGAAAGCCUGAUCCAGCAAUGCCGCGUGAGUGAAGAAGGCCUUCGGGUUGUAAAGCUCUUUUACCCGGGAAGAUAAUGACUGUACCGGGAGAAUAAGCUCCGGCUAACUCCGUGCCAGCAGCCGCGGUAAUACGGAGGGAGCUAGCGUUGUUCGGAAUUACUGGGCGUAAAGCGUACGUAGGCGGCUUGGUAAGUCAGAGGUGAAAGCCCACGACUCAAUCGUGGAACUGCCUUUGAGACUGCUUCGCUUGAAGAUGGGAGAGGUUAGUGGAAUUCCGAGUGUAGAGGUGAAAUUCGUAGAUAUUCGGAAGAACACCAGUGGUGAAGGCGGCUAACUGGACCAUUCUUGACGCUGAGGUACGAAGCGUGGGAGCAACAGGAUUAGAUACCCUGUAGUCCACGCCGUAAACGAUGAUAACUAGCUGUCGGGGCUCUUGGAGCUUCGGUGGCGCAGCUAACGCAUUAAGUUAUCCGCCUGGGGAGUACGGCCGCAAGGUUAAACCUAAGGAAUUGACGG
rnacentral:rRNA from 1 species